rnacentral:rRNA from 1 species
CCUACGGGGUGCAGCAGUGGGGGAUAUUGCACAAUGGGGGAAACCCUGAUGCAGCGACGCCGCGUGGGUGAAGAAGCGCCUCGGCGCGUAAAGCCCUGUCAGCAGGGAAGAAAAUGACGGUACCUGAAGAAGAGGCCCCGGCUAACUACGUGCCAGCAGCCGCGGUAAUACGUAGGGGGCAAGCGUUAUCCGGAUUUACUGGGUGUAAAGGGGGCGCAGACGGCGAUGCAAGCCAGGAGUGAAAGCCCGGGGCCCAACCCCGGGACUGCUCUUGGAACUGCGUGGCUAGAGUGCAGGAGGGGCAGUCGGAAUUCCUGGUGUAGCGGUGAAAUGCGUAGAUAUCAGGAGGAACACCGGUGGCGAAGGCGGCCUGCUGGACUGCAACUGACGUUGAGGCCCGAAAGCGUGGGGAGCAAACAGGAUUAGAUACCCCAGUAGUC